CUCAAAAACUUCGUAAAAUUUUCUCGGCGUUUUUCCUAUUGUAGUUUUGUAGGAGAAGAUAAAUUAUUAUAGAAAUAAUGAAUUUAGUGACAGUAAUACACGUUCCCCUUAGUUACGAUAAGCUGUGUUUGUUUGUAGUGAAAUAAAAUGUAAAUCACUAUGAGUUCUCCGUCGGCCGUGGUUUGUCGCGAGAUUUUUGAUGAAAACAGCCAGCCCUCGGCUGAAGAAAUCUCAGAAUAUGCCCAACAGCUGGGCAUUGACCCUGAAAGCGAGAGCCACCUACUACCCUUGGCCAAAGAUGGCCUUAUGCAAGCCUUGCCUGCACCUUGGAAGGCUUACUUCGACGAGAAACUCCAAACACACUACUACUACAAUGAAGACACUAAGAGAACGCAGUGGGAUCACCCUCUAGACAAUGUUUACCGGGAGCUGGUUAAGAAGGCGCGCGACGCGUCCAUACACGACGACACUUGCGCUUCUGUGCAGGAACUCCUCACAUCGGAAGAGAACACGAAACAGCUCGAACGCGUCGAGACCAAAGUGGAAAGCGAUGAUGACGACCUCACAACAGACAGUGAGAACCAAGGGUCAGACGUUAAGGAGAACCCUACACUAGUACCGAAGCGCCUAGCUCCCUUAGGACGACCCCCACUAGCUCCAUCACUAAAUAGACUAGAGAGAAGAUUCGCAGAGCUAAAAAUAAAUUCUCUAAAACGAGGCGGUGAUGGAGAUGGUAUAUAUAAACCGCUAGUUAGAAAUACAUCAGAUCGAGAUAUUCUAAGCAGACCAUUGGAAAGACCAAAAAUGCUAUUCAAGCAGCAAUCAGAGAUAAUAGACUUGAAGAUGCAUGUGUUGACUAGUCCUGAAGAGGAGAAUUUUAGUCCUUUACUGAGUAGUGCCAAAAUUGAAAGGGGGUUGUCGUUGCAAGGUAAAGGCAACCAAUUCUUCCGUAUAUCCAAAUCAGACCUUCCGAGUCCUGAUACGGAAAAGUCUUUGCCUCUAGACUCUGCCACCAAGAGCGACCCACCCAAAGGGAUCCUUCGGGAGAAAUUUACAGACAGCUUUCAUAGAAAAGCUGACAGCUUUCUUCUUGGAAGGCCGAAGCAGAGUGCUAGUCUUGAUGAGGACAGGAAGAGUGUCAGAUUCAAGCUAGAAAAUCUACCAGAGCCGACAAUAAGUCCAGGCUCAAACAGCUCGUCGGAGCAAAAUGAGCAGAACUCCAUAGCAUCAGCGCCCUCUAUGCCUGCCCCCAUCCCCUCUUUACCAUCCCCGCUCAUCCCCUCCUCCCCGCUUGUCCCCUCAUCCCCCGUGUCAUCCCCGCCCGCCAUCAACCCUCAUACGAUAAUCUUGUCCCCGCUUGCUAGUCGACCACCACUACCUCCAAGGCCUGUUGAUAGUCCCAGAGAGGCGAAGAGUAUUUCGGGGUCUGAUAGAGAAUCUUUAGAAAGUGACCGCGGCACCUCCCCCAGGCGGCGCGUGGUUCGCCCCCCAGCAGCAGACUACAUCAAACCGGACCUCUUCCAGAAGAAUUUCCAGAAGAUAUCCGACUUAGUCCGCCCUGGAGACAUCGAGCCGGUUGACAGGGUCCAUCUUGAGGAACCCGUCGAUAAGGAGGUUAGGCCUAGAUCACCGAUGAUACCUCAACAGAAAAACAAAAUUUCUAUCAACCUGAUGGAAAGCAUAGAGUCUGAAACCUCCAUAGAUUCGCCUGAUAAGGAAUUUGUUAAUUUAGACCUGAACGAUCUUGACGAGUCUAACGAUACUAAUGAUCAGAAGAAAGAAGAAGACAAAGAGGAGAAUAAAGACAGUUCUAGACUGGAGGAUAAUUCUGACAAAACUAGCAAUUCUAAGACAUCGAUGUCUACACAGAAUAAGUCGCCGUUAGCAGAUAAUAUUUCAAUACCGCAAAUCAAAGUUCCUAAACUUGAUCUAGCUCAAAAACUGAAAUUACACUCGGAUUCCGACGACUCCAAGAAAGUUGAAGAGCCUAAAAUCUCCAAGUCAGAAAGCAUUGAAGCCAAACCGCCACAACUCAAAGUUUCUCCUACGCCCAGCUUAGGGUCAGAACUUAGGUCUCCCAGAUACGACUUCAAUAAACCUUGGUGCAGUCCUCUAUCCACAUUCAAGCCUUUAAACAAAGCUGUUAUUGCUCCUUUGAAAUCGUCAGAUUCGGCUUCAAGUCUCGGUAAAGGACUGACUAGUCCUAGAUUAGACGGAGUUAUACUAUCUCAAGGAAAGUCCAGUUCUGACAAUGUAGUUGUUGUGUAUCAAUUUGAAAAUGUAAAUCAAGAAGAAUCAUUUACAAAGCCUAUCAAAUCUCCAUUGAUCCCUGAUACUGCAGCUAGAGAUAUGAUAGAAAGGAAUAAAGUAGAUGAAAGAAGAAGAUUAGAGUUGUCUUUACAGAAAGAGUUAGAGACUAUAAGAGUAGAGUGGUGUGCCAAAGAAAGAAGAAUGAGAGCGGAGUUACAAGAAGAGUUGAGAGAGGCGGAAGAGAAGUUUUUGGCGGAGAAAAAGAUUAGGUUAUCGGAUCAAGCAGAACGGCACAAAAGAGAAAUGGAAGAGGCAUUAGAACUAGCAGAACGCAAUCACCAGGAUGCGAUACAAAGCUUUAAUAAGGAGAUGGAAGAGCGACGAAGGCGAGAUAUCGACACGGCGGAGCGGCGACACGCAGAAGACAUGAGGAAGCUUCAAGACCAGUUUCAAACUAGACUCGCUGACAAACGAAAAGAAUUUGAAAUAGAAAACGAGCGGGCGCUAUCUGAACUGACGGUACAAAUGCAAGCUAGUUUUCAUCGCGAGCGCACCCGCCUAGCCGAAGAGAACAGAGUGACCGUACAAGCGCUGCGAGAAGAACAUGCCGCUAGAAUUGCUGACCUUAGAACUGAUUACAGAGCUGAGGUGGAUCGGCUGCGCACACAGCACGCGUGCCACCUGGAGGAGCUGCGAGCGCGCCUGGCCAGCGAGCGAGCCGCGCCGCGACACGAGGAACGCGCGCUCGCUGACAAGUAUAAGUGCUUGAAGGAGAAGUACGCCCGGCUCAAACAUGAUGUUAAGAUGUCGAUAGAACGCCGGAAUAAACGGCGAGAAAUGAGCAUGACCACUGGAUCGGAGACUGAAAAAUCUAACUCACAUAAGGCUACACAGUCGCUUGAAAGAUGCAAAGAAUUGAAUGAGACAUCAGUAAGUGCGGUCAUAGAGCCAGAGCCAAGAGUUCGUGUGAACAACAACACGAACAAAUAUAACGACAACGAGACAUCACACUCUGAGAGCAAUGCACAGAAAUCUUAUGAUAACAACAACGACGACUGGCGACUGAGGAGAGAGAACACGGUUCCACCAGCGGCCGCAAGUCAGCCGCAAUCAAAGCGGCCUCAUCGCCGCGCGGCCGUGGCUUUCCGCGAGCCUCUAUCGCGGUCCCGCGAGCGCGACAGAGACGGAGGUUUGUAGACCAUAGGUGCUCUAACUUAUCUGGCCUACCGACCAUCCUUGUACAGAACCAUCCAUAACGACCGACUAUCAAGAUUCUUCUGACGCGACCACAGCAGAUGAGAAGCCCAAAGAACCUAUUAACGG
rnacentral:misc_RNA from 1 species